UUCAAACUAAUGACAAAGGACAUGCCUGAUGCGGCUGGUUAUCCAGGGAGUCGGUACCUUGGCUGGAAGUACCGUUGACCAAGCACAUCAGCGUACCACCUUUUUGAAUUGUCACUGGCCGAGAUAAGGUCAGUCGGGUCGUGCCCGUUACCACACUUAUGAGGCGACGCCAUUAGUGCGCCGUAAAUUAGGGUGGAACCACGCUGAUUAUGUUAACAACCAACGUCCCUUUG
rnacentral:ncRNA from 1 species